AACGAACGCUGGCGGCAUGCCUAACACAUGCAAGUCGAACGAGACCUUCGGGUCUAGUGGCGCACGGGUGCGUAACGCGUGGGAACCUGCCCUUAGGUUCGGAAUAACUCCCCGAAAGGGGUGCUAAUACCGGAUAAUGUCUUCGCACCAAAGACUUAUCGCCUUUGGAUGGGCCCGCGUUGGAUUAGCUAGUUGGUAGGGUAAAAGCCUACCAAGGCGACGAUCCAUAGCUGGUCUGAGAGGAUGAUCAGCCACACUGGGACUGAGACACGGCCCAGACUCCUACGGGAGGCAGCAGUGGGGAAUAUUGGACGAUGGGCGAAAGCCUGAUCCAGCAAUGCCGCGUGAGUGAUGAAGGCCUUAGGGUUGUAAAGCUCUUUUACCCGGGAUGAUAAUGACAGUACCGGGAGAAUAAGCGCCGGCUAACUCCGUG
rnacentral:rRNA from 1 species